rnacentral:rRNA from 1 species
UACGGGGGGGGCAAGCGUUGUUCGGAAUUACUGGGCGUAAAGGGCUCGUAGGUGGCCAACUAAGUCAGACGUGAAAUCCCUCGGCUUAACCGGGGAACUGCGUCUGAUACUGGAUGGCUUGAGUUCGGGAGAGGAAAGCGGAAUUCCUGGUGUAGCGGUGAAAUGCGUAGAUAUCAGGAGGAACACCUGUGGUGUAGACGGCUUUCUGGACCGUAGCUGACGCUGAGACACGAAAGCGUGGGUAGCAAACAGG